CCCAGCUCUCAGUCAGCUGACCAGCCGUCCAUGUCUGGUUCAGUGUUACAGAGCUGGCAGAUGAAGUCUCUGCUCUCCGCCUCAGCGGCGCCGGCUCUGUUUUAGAGUCUGCUGCCGCUGAGCUGCUGCAGGGCGAGGCCCGGCUAGAGAGUGGCCGGUCCCGCUCCCCCCAGGGACGGGCCUAGUGCCGGGCCUCACACU